rnacentral:rRNA from 1 species
GAAUAUUGGGCAAUGGUCGGAAGACUGACCCAGCCAUGCCGCGUGCAGGAAGACGGCCUAUUGGGUUGUAAACUGCUUUUGUACGGGAAGAAAAGGCCACUGCGGUGGACAUUGCCGGUACCGUACGAAUAAGCACCGGCUAACUCCGUGCCAGCAGCCGCGGUAAUACGGAGGGUGCAAGCGUUGUCCGGAUUUAUUGGGUUUAAAGGGUGCGUAGGCGGCUUUUUAAGUCAGCGGUGAAAGUUUCAGGCUCAACCUGGAGACUGCCGUUGAUACUGGGGAGCUUGAGUUACGGAGGGGUACAUGGAAUUUAUGGUGUAGCGGUGAAAUGCAUAGAUACCAUAAGGAACACCGAUAGCGAAGGCAUUGUACCGGCCGUCGACUGACGCUGAGGCACGAAAGCGUGGGUAGCGAACAGG